rnacentral:rRNA from 1 species
UGGGGAAUUUUGGACAAUGGGCGCAAGCCUGAUCCAGCCAUUCCGCGUGCAGGAUGAAGGCCUUCGGGUUGUAAACUGCUUUUGUACGGAACGAAAAGGUUUGGCCUAAUAAGCUGAGCUCAUGACGGUACCGUAAGAAUAAGCACCGGCUAACUACGUGCCAGCAGCCGCGGUAAUACGUAGGGUGCAAGCGUUAAUCGGAAUUACUGGGCGUAAAGCGUGCGCAGGCGGUUAUGUAAGACAGAUGUGAAAUCCCCGGGCUCAACCUGGGAACUGCAUUUGUGACUGCAUAGCUAGAGUACGGUAGAGGGGGAUGGAAUUCCGCGUGUAGCAGUGAAAUGCGUAGAUAUGCGGAGGAACACCGAUGGCGAAGGCAAUCCCCUGGGCCUGCACUGACGCUCAUGCACGAAAGCGUGGGGAGCAAACA